UACAGAGGUCUCAAGCGUUGUUCGGAUUCAUUGGGCGUAAAGGGUGCGUAGGUGGUAGAAUAAGUCGGAUGUGAAAUCUCGGGGCUUAACCCCGAAACUGCAUUCGAUACUGUUUUGCUGGAGGACUGGAGAGGAGAUUGGAAUUCAUGGUGUAGCAGUGAAAUGCGUAGAUAUCAUGAGGAAGACCAGUGGCGAAGGCGGAUCUCUGGACAGUUCCUGACACUGAGGCACGAAGGCCAGGGGAGCAAACGGG
rnacentral:rRNA from 1 species